CUGCUGCCUCCCGUAGGAGUCUGGUCCGUGUCUCAGUACCAGUGUGGGGGACCUUCCUCUCAGAACCCCUACGCAUCGUCGCCUCGGUAGGCCGUUACCCCGCCGACUAGCUAAUGCGACGCAUGGCCAUCCUAUGCCGGAGUCGCCUCCUUUGACCCCCUGGAGAUGUCUCCAGAUGGUGUUAUGCGGUAUUAGACGGAAUUUCUUCCGCUUAUCCCCCUGCAUAGGGCAGGUCCCAUACGUGUUACUCA
rnacentral:rRNA from 1 species